AGUCUGGUGCCAGCAGCCGCGGUAAUUCCAGCUCUAAUAGCGUAUAUUAAAGUUGUUGCAGUUAAAAAGCUCGUAGUCGGAUGUCGGGCUCGGGCAAGCUGUCGGCCUUUGGUCGGACGGCAGGCUCGGGUCUUUCUGCCUGAGGAACCCGGUUGCUUUAACGAGCUGCCGGUGGACGCAGGUCGUUUACUUUGAAAAAUUAGAGUGUUCAAAGCAGGCUAGCGCUUGAAUACAUUAGCAUGGAAUAAUGGAAUAGGACUUUGGUGCUAUUUUGUUGGUUUAUGGGACCGAAGUAAUGAUUAACAGGGACAGUUGGGGCCGUUUAUAUUUCGUUGUCAGAGGUGAAAUUCUUGGAUUUACGAAAGAUAAACUUCUGCGAAAGCAUUCGGCAAGGAUGUUUUCAUUGAUCAAGAACGAAAGUUAGGGGAUCGAAGACGAUCAGAUACCGUCGUAGUCUUAACCAUAAACUAUGCCGACUAGGGAUCAGUGGAUGUCAAUUUGCGACUCCAUUGGCACCUUGUGAGAAAUCAAAGUUUUUGGGUUCCGGGGGGAGUAUGGUCGCAAGGCUGAAACUUAAAGGAAUUGACGGAAGGGCACCACCAGGAGUGGAGCCUGCGGCUUAAUUUGACUCAACACGGGGAAACUUACCAGGUCCAGACAUAGUAAGGAUUGACAGAUUGAAAGCUCUUUCUUGAUUCUAUGGGUGGUGGUGCAUGGCCGUUCUU
rnacentral:rRNA from 1 species